AGCAAGGCCGGCUGCGCAUGUGAAGCCCGCGUGCUCGGCGACCCGUCUUUUUUGGAUGCAGCCCGUUUUUUAGGCUCCCGGCGUUCUUUUGUGUUCCGUCUGCAUUUCGGCACGGUACAGCUGCACUACUUGACUACAAGAUAUGGUUUUGACGUUACUGCUGUUGGCCGUUCUACCGUUUGUUGACGGCGGUGGCAGUUCACCUCUCAAUCCCCGAGAACAACAGGGACAGUUGUGCCAUCAGGCUGGAAACUGCGGCGGAAAUACUUCACUAACGUUAUGUUUGUUCAACGGAACCAACACAUACCCCUUCUGCACAAUGUGUGGUAUGUGUUCCCUUCAGUUCGAAUAUUCUUAUUCCGCGUUGUAGACUUACAUUUAGGAUAUGGGGCAGAUGUUGGCCCUAAAAAUCUAUGUAUUCUAUCUCAAUACACAAUAAAACGCAAAAAAAAAAGGAGAAAUAAGAAUUUUAGAUCAGUGCUUGUAAUCUGUCGCUGUGACUAGCGUGGAUGCACAAAUGUAUAGCAAUGCAGAAAAACCAAUGACGUUGCAUGUACGUAAAACCUUAUAGCGG